UACGGAGGGGGUUAGCGUUGUUCGGAAUUACUAGGCGUAAAGCGCACGUAGGCGGACUGGAAAGUUGGGGGUGAAAUCCUGGGGCUCAACCCCGGAACUGCCUCCAAAACUUCCAAUCUAGAGAUCGAGAGAGGUGAGUGGAAUUCCAAGUGUAGAGGUGAAAUUCGUAGAUAUUUGGAGGAACACCAGUGGCGAAGGCGGCUCACUGGCUCGAUACUGACGCUGAGGUGCGAAAGCGUGGGGAGCAAACAGGAUUAGAAACCCCAGUAGUCC
rnacentral:rRNA from 1 species